GCGGGGAUGGCCGAGCCUGGUCAAAGGCGCGAGUGAGUGCUCCGCGAAGCUUAGGACCUCGUGCGGUAGCGCUUCGUGGGUUCGAAUCCCACUCCCCGCA
rnacentral:tRNA from 4 species